rnacentral:rRNA from 1 species
UACGGGGGGAGCAAGCGUUAUCCGGAAUUAUUGGGCGUAAAGAGCUCGUAGGCGGUUUGUUGCGUCUGCUGUACGAAACCCGAGGCUCAACCUCGGGCCUGCAGUGGGUACGGGCAAACUAGAGUGGCGGUAGGGGAGAUUGGAAUUCCUGGUGUAGCGGUGGAAUGCGCAGAUAUCAGGAGGAACACCGAUGGCGAAGGCAGAUCUCUGGGCCGUAACUGACGCUGAGGAGCGAAAGCGUGGGGAGCGAACAGG